rfam:Planomicrobium glaciei strain CGMCC 1.6846 genome assembly, contig: Ga0070170_110
UGUGCAAAGCAGGAGCACCCGCUUCUCACCUGAUUGACGUAUUGUUGGCAGGUAUACACGAUUGACUACUACACGCACGCAUGCGUGCGUGUGUCAUAUUUGCGGGUGGACCUCUGUGGUCCACCCGCUUUUGUUUUGGAUC